CGUAGGUGGCGAGCGUUGUCCGGAUUUAUUGGGCGUAAAGGGAACGCAGGCGGUCUUUUAAGUCUGAUGUGAAAGCCUUCGGCUUAACCGAAGUAGUGCAUUGGAAACUGGAAGACUUGAGUGCAGAAGAGGAGAGUGGAACUCCAUGUGUAGCGGUGAAAUGCGUAGAUAUAUGGAAGAACACCAGUGGCGAAAGCGGCUCUCUGGUCUGUAACUGACGCUGAGGUUCGAAAGCGUGGGUAGCAA
rnacentral:rRNA from 1 species